rnacentral:rRNA from 1 species
GACGAACGCUGGCGGCGUGCUUAACACAUGCAAGUCGAGCGGUAAGGCCCUUUCGGGGGUACACGAGCGGCGAACGGGUGAGUAACACGUGGGUGACCUGCCCUCAGCUCUGGGAUAAGCCUGGGAAACCGGGUCUAAUACCGGAUAUGACUCCAUGACGCAUGUUGUGGGGUGGAAAGCCUUGUGCGGCUGAGGAUGGGCCCGCGGCCUAUCAGCUUGUUGGUGGGGUGAUGGCCUACCAAGGCGACGACGGGUAGCCGGCCUGAGAGGGCGACCGGCCACACUGGGACUGAGACACGGCCCAGACUCCUACGGGAGGCAGCAGUGGGGAAUCUUGCGCAAUGGGCGAAAGCCUGACGCAGCGACGCCGCGUGAGGGGUGACGGCCU